CGGGAGGCGCCGUGGGAAUUUGACAUGGGGCAAGCUUAUCCAGCCUUCCGGGGUGGAGAAGGCCUUAGGUUGUAAGCACUUAACCGGAAAGAAAAGCGCCGGUUAAUACCCCGAGCGUAUGACGGUACCUGCAGAAUAAGCACCGGCUAACUCCGUGCCCAGCAGCCGCGGUAAUACGGAGGGGUGCGAGCGUUAAUCGGAAUUACUGGGGCGUAAAGCGAGUGCAGGCGGUUGCGUGUGUCGGGUGUGAAAGCCCCGGGCUUAACCUGGGAAUGGCAUCCGAAACUGCGUAACUAGAAUAUGGUAGAGGAAGACGGAAUUCCACGUGUAGCGGUGAAAUGCGUAGAUAUGUGGAGGAACACCAAUGGCGAAGGCAGUCUUCUGGGCCUAUAUUGACGCUGAGGCUCGAAAGCGUGGGUAGCAAACAGGAUUAGAUACCCUGGUAGUCCACGCCGUAAACGAUGAGAACUAGACGUUGGUUGACAUAGUCGAUCAGUGUCGCAGCAAACGCGUUAAGUUCUCCGCCUGGGGAGUACGGCCGCAAGGUUGAAACUCAAAGGAAUUGACGGGGGCCCGCACAAGCGGUGGAGCAUGUGGUUUAAUUCGAUGCAACGCGAAGAACCUUAC
rnacentral:rRNA from 1 species